CGGCAGCUUGCGAAACUCAUAAUCGCCGAAUCCAUGUAUAACUUGUCGUUGGUUUUCUUUGACUUCAUUAUCAAGGAAGGAUUAUAAGGACAAAAUAUUUAGGCACCAAUUAAACCAUCGCCAUUUUGAGCAACAGACAGCGAUAAUAGCGUGUCCACAGCGAAUACCAAAACAUCGAUAACCAUGGCAACAGCUCCAAAGAACAGUAAUAAGUCGAUGAACAGAAAGGUUACGGCCGGGGAGAUCGUUAAGCUAUCGAGACUUCUACCUUACGGAAAAUACAGCGAGCUAUUGGUAAACUUGGGUUUUAGCCUCAACUACAUUCAGACGAUAUUGAAGAAACAUUCAAAUGACACAAACGAAGCAUUUGAAUAUAUAUUGAAUGAAUGGGCUAAUAAACUUGAAGGUGGAUACAUUGACGAUCUAGACAAAGCUCUGCAUAAAGCAGAAAUAGGAGCUCUUAUCGAUGAAUAUAAGAAAUAAUUAACACGAUAAAUGUGAAUAAUUUCCAUUUUAUCUGUCAUAGAUACAACACAAAACAAUAUAUUGUGGCCAUUGCUUCUGGGUUGAUUUGUAGAAAUACUCUUUCAGGAAAUGUAAAUAUUUAUUUUUUUUUUUUAAUUUAUGUCCUGAUAUUUAAUUGGCAAUUCAAAAGCUGGUGUCAUGUUGGGGGGUUUGAUUUAAGUCAGUUUAAUGACGGUGUCAUGAUGUAUACAAGUUGACUGGUUGCCCUAUGGAUAACAAAGUGAAUGGAAUUUGUGACUAGGUUAAGGCCCCAUAUAGAUAUAUGUUAUGUAUAUAAAUUUGAUUAUAGUUAUUUUUUGGGGAAUGAACUGAACAUAAUUCAAAAUUAAAAAGGUCCCUGUUUUGUAAUUAGGUAUCCUUAUAUGAGAUUAUCCCCCCCCCCCCACACACACGCACACACACAAACAGUAUCUGACACUAAUUAUUGUUCUUUUUUUUUACAUCAAUUUUCUAAAUUUCUUUUGGGAAGCCACUGUUUAGUCACUGUAAAACCCAGUACCUCCUUCUGAAAUAAAUGCAGUAUCUACAUUUUGCACAAGUUGAUAUAUCGAAGCCUCUUUAAAGUGUAUUUCUCAAGUAUUCUUUUAUCAUCAAAUUGAAAAUUAUGCAUGUGCCUAUUUCAGGCCCCAAAAUGGUAAAACUAGGUAUCUAUAUACAUGAAGUUACUCAGUCGAUAUUGCUUCACUACCAAGAAAGAAUGUGUCAACAUGGUCAAUGUGUAAUAUAUAUUUUUGUUUACCAAAGUGCACACCUAGUUAUCAAAAAUGCCUAUAGCAAUUUCAUUUCUUUGAAUGGAGGAUAAAAGAGCAUUGUUGAUUAAAUGCCUUGCUCACGGGCAUAGUUGCCCGGCCGGGAAUCGAACCCCGGACUUUCCAUAUUUAGUCAGGCGCCUUAGACCACUCGGCUACGGCACCGCUAACGGCUUACAUACAAGAAGGGCACCCUUUACCAACAAGGUAAAGUCCCAAACUUCAUUAAAAUUGUCUUUUGAAGGUUGGAAGUUAACUGCAGACGGCGCCAUAGUUUGUAGAUGGUGUCCUAGAGUUUGCAGGCUAGUAAAUACAUGUCCAUUAAAAUCUAAGUACAAACUUAAAAGUUACAAUACUGUAGAUAAAGACGGUAUGUUGUAAGUAAGUAUGUUGUACGCAUGUAAGUAUGUUGUAUGUAUGUAAAGACGUGGAGCGUUGUGGCCCAGUGGAUUAGUCUUUGGACUUGGAAACAGAGGGUCGUGGGUUCGAAUCCCAGCCAUGGCGUAAUUUCCUUCGGCAAGAAAUUCAUCAACAUGGUGCUGCACUCGACCCGGGUGAGGUAAAUGGAUUCCUGGCAGGAAUUUAUUCCUUGAAAUGCCAUCGCGCUGUAAAAGGCUGCGAGGCUAAAGCCAGGGUAAUAAUUUCAAAUUAAGCGCAUAGGGACGCAUUUGGCAGUGAUAUGCGCUAUAUUAGCAUGUUGGUAUUAUUAUUAUUAUGUUUUAUUCAAUUUUGGACCGUUUUGGGGAAUUUAAAGAAGAGAGCGCCCUUGUAGUAGAAAGCGCCCUCCGUUUUUUUAAGCAAUAAUAUGUUUCCCAAUAAUUACACAUUGAUACAUUAUUUCAAAGCAAUGAAGCAAUAUAGACUGAGUAAGUGAUGAGAAAACUCAAUGGAAUUCUCUUCUAUCUGCAUUUUUUUCAAUGGGGAACCCGAGCACUAGCUUCGACUUUCUUAAAAAGUAUCUGCACUUUCUCUAAUAUCUUAGUAAAAAAAAUAUAAGUUUGGGAUGGGGGGCUUAAAAUAUGCAAAUGUAUUACUGAUAUACAAUAUAAUAUGAAUAUGUUUUUACAUAAUUGUGUGGCGUAUGAAUUAGAGAGGAUAGAAGUUCAGCAACUAAAGCAAUACAACUUUUUUAUUACAAGUUUUGCUGUUAUUGGGGUAUGUGACAAUAUAAGCGGGGAGGGGGGUAAUAAUAGGUUCAUUUUCAAUUUUCUUGUGUAUGUUAUACAGUGCGUCCCACAAAAACGAAACCGAGCUUUAUCGUUGAUUUAUCAUAACUUAAUCACAAAUACAAUAGACAAAUAACCUACCAUUGUAAAGCUUUGAAUCUCCCCCUUUCAACCAAAAUUAUUUAGAUUAUAUCACAUUCACGCAUGAGUGAACAAAAACAAUUUGAAGAGGGGAUACCAAAAACUCACUUGGCGGGCUGAAUCUGGGUUUCAAAGGAAAACCACACCUUAAAAAAGUUAAAAAUCUGUUCUUUUAUAUGAUGCCUCAAUUACACAAAAUGGUCACGAAAAAACAAAGUUCUGGUUAUUGGAAAUAAGGCUUGAAUUUCAACAAUUUCAUAAAAUGAAGAGGCAAUCGCCCAGACUCACUCGACACUUCGUUUUGUUGACGAUCGGCCAUGCAUUAAGUCUAUUUUGUUUUACAGUGCGAUAGCUUCUGUGGGAAACCGGUGAAAACACGUUUAUUUAAAGAAAUUAUGUAAAUUCAAGCAUUGUUUCGAAGGAAUAUGACUGUUUUACUUCUUGACCAUUUUCUGUGAUUAAGGUAUCAAAUGAAAAGGCAGAUAUUGAACUUUUUAGGCAUAUGAUUUUCUUUUUAAAAUUCAGAUACCCCCACCUAAUGAGUUUUUGGUAUAAUUCCUUCACAUUGUUUCUGCUCACUUAUGCGUGAAUAAAGAAUAAUCUAAGUAAUUUCAGAUGAAAGCAGAGAUUCUAAGCUUUACAUUGGUGGGUCAUUUGUCUAUUUUAUUUAUGAUUACGUUGUGAUAAAUCAUCGCUUAAUAUCGGUUUCGGUUUUUUUUUUGUGGGACGCACUGUAUAGUAACUUUUACAAAUAUCGUUAGUACUCUGUGGCCGAGUAAUAGUAGCAAACACAAUUUUAUGUGUGUGUGUGCUCUCUUUAAAUACCGACAGCUGUAAUAUUUUUCCUCUGAUUUAUGUAAUCGAAUCAUAUUUAGGUAGUAUUGUCCUCGCUAUUGUAGGCCUACAUAGUACGAAUUCAUUUUUUUUUCUAUUCUGCUGACUUUAAUAUUGUUCGAAAUUGUCAUUAAAUUCAAAUCAAUGUAUUAUUCAAUUUA